rnacentral:rRNA from 1 species
AGUGAACGCUGGCGGUAGGCCUAACACAUGCAAGUCGAACGGCAGCACAGUAAGAGCUUGCUCUUACGGGUGGCGAGUGGCGUACGGGUGAGGAAUACAUCGGAAUCUACUUUUUCGUGGGGGAUAACGUAGGGAAACUUACGCUAAUACCGCAUACGACCUACGGGUGAAAGCAGGGGAUCUUCGGACCUUGCGCGAUUGAAUGAGCCGAUGUCGGAUUAGCUAGUUGGCGGGGUAAAGGCCCACCAAGGCGACGAUCCGUAGCUGGUCUGAGAGGAUGAUCAGCGAGACGGGAACGGAGACACGGACCAGACUCCUACGGGAGGCAGCAGUGGGGAAUAUUGGACAAUGGGCGCAAGCAUGAUCCAGCAAUACCGCGUGGGUGAAGAAGGACUUCGGGUUGUAAAGCCCUUUUGUUGGGAAAGAAAAGCAGCAGGUUAAUACCCCGCUGUUCUGACGGUACCCAAAGAAUAAGCACCGGCUAACUUCGUG